AUCCUUUUUUUGUUCAUGAGCAUGAUGAUUGGGUGUUCACGCCUCUGAGUGACAUAUGCCGCCCUCAAAUCUUGUUACGACGUGGGCACGUUACCCUUCUGACG
rnacentral:snoRNA from 1 species